AACGAACGCUGGCGGCGUGCUUAACACAUGCAAGUCGAACGGUAAGGCCCUUCGGGGUACACGAGUGGCGAACGGGUGAGUUACACGUGGGUGAUCUGCCCUGCACUUCGGGAUAAGCCUGGGAAACUGGGUCUAAUACCGGAUAGGACCACUGCCUGCAUGGGUGGUGGUGGAAAGCUUUUGCGGUGUGGGAUGGGCCCGCGGCCUAUCAGCUUGUUUGUGGGGUGAUGGCCUACCAAGGCGACGACGGGUAGCCGGCCGGGGAGGGGGACCGGACACACUGGGACUGAGAUACGGCCCAGACUCCUACGGGAGGCAGCAGUGGGGAAUAUUGCACAAUGGGCGCAAGCCUGAUGCAGCGACGCCGCGUGAGGGAUGACGGCCUUCGGGUUGUAAACCUCUUUCAGCACCGACGAAGCGCAAGUGACGGUAGGUGCAGAAGAAGGACCGGCCAACUACGUGCCAGCCGCCGCCGUAAGAC
rnacentral:rRNA from 1 species